rfam:Picea glauca, whole genome shotgun sequence.
ACAUGUCUACAACUUAGCGUUAAUUCAUCGGAUCCCAUUAGAACUCUAUAGUUAAGCGCGCUUGGGCUAGAGUAGUACUGGGAUGGGUGACUGCUCGGGAAUUCCUAGUAUUUUACAUGGC